rnacentral:lncRNA from 10 species
AUUCAACUCACAGAGUUGAUCUUAUCUUCUCAUUGAGCAGUUUUGAAUCUCUCCUUUUGUAGAAUCUGCAAGUGGAUAUUUGGAGCCCUUUGAGCCCUGUGGUGCAAAAGGAAAUAUCUUGAAAUAAAAACUACAAAGAAGCAUUCAGACAAACUUCUUUGUGAUGUAUGCAUUCAACUCACAGAGUUGAACGUAUCUUUUGAUUGAGCAGUUUUGAAUCUCUCUUUUUGCAAAAUCUGCAGGUGGAUAUUUGGAGCCCUUUGAGGCCUACUGUGGAAAAGCAAAUAUCUUCACAUAAAAAUUACACAGAAAAUCUGCAAGUGGAUAUUUGGAGCCCUUUGAGCCCUAUGGUGCAAAAGGAAAU